rnacentral:rRNA from 1 species
CCUUGUGCCAGCAGCCGCGGUAACACGUAGGAGGCAAACGUUAUCCAGAUUUACUGGGCGUAAAGCGCGUGUAGGUGGUUUGGUAAGUAGGGCGUGAAAGCUCCUGGCUCAACUGGGAGAGGACGUCCUAAACUGCCAAGCUUGAGGAUGGUAGAGGGAGGUGGAAUUCCGGGUGUAGCGGUGGAAUGCGCAAAUAUCCGGAGGAACACCAGUGGCGAAGGCGGCCUCCUGGACCACUCCUGACACUCAGACGCGAAAGCUAGGGUAGCAAACGGGAUUAGAGACCCCGGUAGUCCUAGCCCUAAACGAUGUAGACUUGGCGUCGGUGGUUUAAUCGCCAUCGGUGUCGUAGCUAACGCGUUAAGUCUACCGCCUGGGGACUACGGCCGCAAGGUUAAAACUCAAAGGAAUUGACGGGUCCCCGCACAAGCAGCGGAGCGUGUGGUUUAAUUCGAUGCUACACGAAGAACCUUACCUGGGUUUGACAUAGAGGUAGUAGGGAAGCGAAAGCGGACCGACCCUUCGGGGAGCCUCUACAGGUGUUGCAUGGCCGUUGUCAGCUCGUGUCGUGAGAUGUUCGGUUAAGUCCGCUAACGAGCGCAACCCUCGCUGUGCGUUACAAGUGUCUCACGGUACUGCCGAUAUUAAGUCGGAGGAAGGUGGGGAUGACGUCAAGUCAGCAUGACCUUUAUAUCCAGGGCUACACACACGCUACAAUUGCCAGUACAAUGGGUUGCCGAGCCGCGAGGCGGAGCCAAUCCUAAAAAGCUGGCCUCAGUUCAGAUUGCAGUCUGCAACUCGACUGCAUGAAGUUGGAGUUGCUAGUAACCGCAGGUCAGCAAUACUGCGGUGAAUACGUUCCCGGGGAUUGUACACACCGCCCGUAAGGGCGAA